rnacentral:lncRNA from 1 species
CCAAAGCCAGCAUUCUUCUCCUGAUUAUGACAUGCACCAAAGAGGCAUCCCCUGAGCUGGAUGUUUAAAUCAGAGCCCACAGCUGAAGUGAGCACCAAGAUGUACUGAGCAAGUGUGGACUCUUACUGAUCCAAGUGGCAGCAGCAGCUUCAAGGGUGAACUGUUGCUCAGCAGAGAAAUGGCAGGAAAAAAUAGGACAUUCGCUUCUGGCCUUAGUCCUGUUGGAACACAAAAAGUGGAGUCUGCAAUGCUGUUGGAGGCUCAACAGGUCAAAUACAUCAGUAAUGGGCAUGGUAUGGCUGGGGUCAUACGGAGACAGUCCUUAGAGCACUGAAAAUGUGAUCAUCCUGAAUCCCAUAAGGAUCCUUAUGAGGUUAGAAGGGACAAUGUGGCUCCACUUUGAUGACUGACAGCAGUUGCUUUGGUGAGUUUCUACGUAUUCCCUUGUGAUCAGAGAGUGGUACAGGACAGCAUGUCAAAAUCGUAAACCACCAUCUCAGAGCAAGGCCCCUUAGUUACAAUAUUAAAAAGAUCAGAGAAAUUGGCACAUAGCAUCAUUUAGAAAUCUGUCUUCAGGCAUCUUUGUCUGGCCUGGCUGGAAAUAGUAAAACCAUAUUUAUGUCAUUGAGAAAAAGGUUCUUAAUUAAAUUCAAAUGUAUAAGAAUAUAUCGUAGGUCUAUUUUUGGAACAAUAAUCUGGGAACAAAAAAAAAUCUAAACAGCAACAAAACUUGUACAAUAGCAUUUAGCUUCAGACAGCAGCAUACAAUAGAGAAGAAGGAGUCCUCAUAGACUCUGGACUCUUAGAUUGAUUCAAUCCCACAAGCUAGAGCACCAAAGUCAUGGCACUGGGACAUUUAGGAAGAGGAACUCUAGCAGUGACCUGAUUAGGAGACAGCUCCAGCAGAGAGUCAG